rnacentral:rRNA from 1 species
AUUGAACGCUGGCGGCAGGCCUAACACAUGCAAGUCGAGCUAGCUGCGGACGGGUGAGUAAUGUAUGGGGACUGCCCGAUAGAGGGGGAUAACUACUGGAAACGGUGGCUAAUACCGCCUACUAUCGGAUAACCCAUAUGGGAUUAGCUAGUAGGUGGGGUAAAGGCUCACCUAGGCGACGAUCUCUAGCUGGUCUGAGAGGAUGAUAAGCCAAACUGGGACUGAGACACGGACCAGACUCCAAGGGAGGAAGCAGGGGGGACUAUUGCACAAUGGGCGCAAGCCUGAUGCAGCCAUGCCGCGUGUAUUAAGAAGGCCUUAGGGUUGUAAAGUACUUGCAGCGGGGAGGCGUUACCCGCAGAAGAAGCACCGGAUAACUCCGUGCCAGCAGCCGCGGUAAUUC